rnacentral:rRNA from 1 species
AAGCGUGAAGCCCCCCUCAAGACGAGAUUUCCCAUUCGAAAGAAGUAAGAUUCCUUGUAGACGACGAGGUUGAUAGGUCGAAGGUGUAAGCACGGUAACGUGUUCAGCUGAUCGAUACUAAUAAAUCGAGGGCUUGUCCAA